AUUGAACGCUGGCGGCAGGCCUAACACAUGCAAGUCGAGCGAGCGGCGGACGGGUGCGUAAUGUCUGGGAAACUGCCUGAUGGAGGGGGAUAACUAAUGGAAACGGUAGCUAAUAACGCAUACCAUCAGAUGUGCCCAGAUGGGAUUAGCUAGGAGGUGGGGUAACGGCUCACCUAGGCUACGAUCCAUAGCUGGUCUGAGAGGAUGACAAGCCAUACUGGAACUGAGACACGGUCCAGACUCCUACGGGAGGCAGCAGUGGGGAAUAUUGCACAAUGGGCGCAAGCCUGAUGCAGCCAUGCCGCGUGUGUGAAGAAGGCCUUCGGGUUGUAAAGCACUUUCAGCGGGGAGGCGUUACCCACAGAAGAAGCACCGGCUAACUCCGUGCCAGCAGCCGCGGUAAUUC
rnacentral:rRNA from 1 species